rnacentral:rRNA from 1 species
CAGUCGCCGCGGUAAAACGUAGGGUGCAAGCGUUAAUCGGAAUUACUGGGCGUAAAGCGUGCGCAGGCGGUUAUAUAAGACAGAUGUGAAAUCCCCGGGCUCAACCUGGGAACUGCAUUUGUGACUGUAUAGCUAGAGUACGGCAGAGGGGGAUGGAAUUCCGCGUGUAGCAGUGAAAUGCGUAGAUAUGCGGAGGAACACCGAUGGCGAAGGCAAUCCCCUGGGCCUGUACUGACGCUCAUGCACGAAAGCGUGGGGAGCAAACAGGAUUAGAUACCCCGGUAGUCCCUGUCUCUUAUAC